rnacentral:misc_RNA from 1 species
UUUCCGUAGGUGAACCUGCGGAAGGAUCAUUAUUGUAUAACCGAGGUGCGAGGGCUGUCGCUGACCCGCUAGGUCGUGAACGCCCGAGAGCCCCCACACACAUCAAUCUCACCCCUAUGUGCACCACCGCGUGGGUCCCCCUUUGGCGUGUUCGGAGGGGGGCUUACGUUGUCACACAAACUUUGUAUGCAGUGUAGAAUGUAUUUUUUGUUUUUGCGAUCCCGCAAUCCAUACAACUUUCAACAACGGAUCUCUUGGCUCUU